rnacentral:tmRNA from 1 species
AUCUAAAUUACAAUUAGCUGCUGCUUAAAGCAGCUCGUCCUGAUUUUGUAAACCGCGGCAAGAUUUUGGGCGUCAUUUAGCGGUAAAUGUGAACAUCCGAGUUCUCCGACGGGUGGCACACAUCAGGAGAUACUGAAAGCUUCAGCUUGUUAUUGGGCGGUUGCCGUAGGGAAUGUAAAUCAAUAACUACACUCGUAGAAAGCAUUGGGGAAUACUUUUCGGACGCGGGUUCAAUUCCCGCCAUCUCCACCA